rnacentral:rRNA from 1 species
CACGGAGUUAGCCGGGGCUUAUUCUCCCGGUACUGUCAUUAUCAUCCCGGGUAAAAGAGCUUUACAACCCUAAGGCCUUCAUCACUCACGCGGCGUCGCUGGAUCAGGCUUUCGCCCAUUGUCCAAUAUUCCCCA